rnacentral:sRNA from 1 species
GGCCAUCUGCAUGGAACUUCUCACCAAACAGGGCUGGAGCAGUGCCUACUCCAUAGAGUCAGUGAUCAUGCAGAUCAGUGCCACACUGGUGAAGGGGAAAGCACGAGUGCAGUUUGGAGCCAACAAAGUAAGGAUCCUGGUCCUGGGGCUGGUGGGGCUGGGUGGAGCCAAGUACACUUGGGGCCACUAGCAGGCCAAGGCUGCCUUCUUUAGAGGAAUGAGCAUAAGGCCCCCGGGCUGGUGGCAUUGGAUGAGAGGGCCUAGGGUGCCCACAAUGGAACAACUGUGCCUUGGCCCCUAG